rnacentral:rRNA from 1 species
GACGAGGGGUCCAAGCGUUGUUCGGAAUCAUUGGGCGUAAAGCGGGUGUAGGUGGCUCUGUAAGUCAGGAGUGAAAGCCCCGAGCUUAACUUGGGAAGUGCUUUUGAUACUGCAGAACUUGAGUGUGGGAGAGGAUCGUGGAAUUCCAGGUGUAGUGGUGAAAUACGUAGAUAUCUGGAGGAACACCGGUGGCGAAGGCGGCAUCCUGGACCGGCAUUGACGCUGAGGCGCGAAAGCCAGGGGAGCAAAGCGGG